GAAAGCGUGGGGAGCGAACAGGAUUAGAUACCCUGGUAGUCCACGCCGUAAACGGUGGAUGCUGGAUGUGGGGACCAUUCCACGGUCUCCGUGUCGGAGCCAACGCGUUAAGCAUCCCGCCUGGGGAGUACGGCCGCAAGGCUAAAACUCAAAGAAAUUGACGGGGGCCCGCACAAGCGGCGGAGCAUGCGGAUUAAUUCGAUGCAACGCGAAGAACCUUACCUGGGCUUGACAUGUUCCCGACCGCGGCAGAGAUGUCGUUUCCCUUCGGGGCGGGUUCACAGGUGGUGCAUGGUCGUCGUCAGCUCGUGUCGUGAGAUGUUGGGUUAAGUCCCGCAACGAGCGCAACCCUCGCCCUGUGUUGCCAGCACGUCAUGGUGGGAACUCACGGGGGACCGCCGGGGUCAACUCGGAGGAAGGUGGGGAUGACGUCAGAUCAUCAUGCCCCUUACGUCCAGGGCUUCACGCAUGCUACAAUGGCCGGUACAACGGGAUGCGACACGGCGACGUGGAGCGGAUCCCUGAAAACCGGUCUCAGUUCGGAUUGGAGUCUGCAACCCGACUCCAUGAAGGCGGAGUCGCUAGUAAUCGCGGAUCAGCAACGCCGCGGUGAAUGCGUUCCCGGGCCUUGUACACACCGCCCGUCAAGUCAUGAAAGUGGGUAGCACCCGAAGCCGGUGGCCCAACCUUUUGGGGGGAGCCGUCUAAGGUGAGACUCGUGAUUGGGACUAAGUCGUAACAAGGUAGCCGUACCGGAAGGUGCGGCUG
rnacentral:rRNA from 1 species